AAAAAAGGCCUUUGAUGCAAUGUCACUUAGCGUCUUUACGGACAUUGGGCGGAAUCGCUAGCAAGAUAUUUCGGAGUCGAAACUUUUGUGAAAAGUGGCAGCUAGUGCUCAAUUAAGUCUGGCGCCUAU